rnacentral:rRNA from 1 species
CGGACGGGUGAGUAACACGUGGGUAACCUGCCUGUAAGACUGGGAUAACUCCGGGAAACCGGGGCUAAUACCGGAUGCUUGAUUGAACCGCAUGGUUCAAUCAUAAAAGGUGGCUUUUAGCUACCACUUACAGAUGGACCCGCGGCGCAUUAGCUAGUUGGUGAGGUAACGGCUCACCAAGGCGACGAUGCGUAGCCGACCUGAGAGGGUGAUCGGCCACACUGGGACUGAGACACGGCCCAGACUCCUACGGGAGGCAGCAGUAGGGAAUCUUCCGCAAUGGACGAAAGUCUGACGGAGCAACGCCGCGUGAGUGAUGAAGGUUUUCGGAUCGUAAAACUCUGUUGUUAGGGAAGAACAAGUACCGUUCGAAUAGGGCGGUACCUUGACGGUACCUAACCAGAAAGCCACGGCUAACUACGUGCCAGCAGCCGCGGUAAUACGUAGGUGGCAAGCGUUGUCCGGAAUUAUUGGGCGUAAAGCGCGCG